AAAAAGGCCCCUUUUUAGGGCCACAACAUUCUUUUUAUCAAAAAACA
rfam:Drosophila ananassae strain TSC#14024-0371.13 Ctg01_5697, whole genome shotgun sequence.